GACGAACGCUGGCGGCGUGCUUAACACAUGCAAGUCGAACGGAAAGGCCCUGCUUUUGUGGGGUGCUCGAGUGGCGAACGGGUGAGUAACAAGUGAGUAACCUGCCCUUGACUUUGGGAUAACUUCAGGAAACUGGGGCUAAUACCGGAUAGGAGCUCCUGCUGCAUGGUGGGGGUUGGAAAGUUUCGGCGGUUGGGGAUGGACUCGCGGCUUAUCAGUUUGUUGGUGGGGUAGUGGCUUACCAAGGCUUUGACGGGUAGCCGGCCUGAGAGGGUGACCGGCCACAUUGGGACUGAGAUACGGCCCAGACUCCUACGGGAGGCAGCAGUGGGGAAUAUUGCACAAUGGGCGGAAGCCUGAUGCAGCAACGCCGCGUGCGGGAUGACGGCCUUCGGGUUGUAAACCGCUUUCGCCUGUGACGAAGCGUGAGUGACGGUAAUGGGUAAAGAAGCACCGGCUAACUACGUG
rnacentral:rRNA from 1 species